rnacentral:rRNA from 1 species
GGGAAUGCAUAGUAGAUUUGUCUGCUCAUGAGUUUUAAUGGCUGCAGUAAAUUGACUGUGUGAAAGUAGCAUAAUAAUUAGUUCAUUGAUUGUGAACUGGUAUGAAUGGAUUGAUGAGGCAUUGAUUGUCUCGGCGUUAGGGGUGUUUAAUUUUACGAUUAAGUUAAAAGGCUUAAGUGAUUGAAAGGGACGAGAAGACCCUAUAGAAUUUUAUUUUAAGCGGUUUUCGGGGGUUAAUGUAUUUUUAUCGGAUGUUGUUUAAGAUUUUGUUGGGGUGAUGGAUAGGUUUAAAUAAUCUUUUCUUGUGUUAACAUUAAUUAGUGGGUUUAUUUUGAUUUUGUUUUGUAAUUAGAAGAUUAAGUUACCUUAGGGAUAACAGCGUUAUUUAUAUGGAGAGUUCUAAUCAAUAUAUAAGUUUGCGACCUCGAUGUUGAAUUAAGGUUGAUUUUUGUGGAAGGGUAUGAAAUAUUGGGUCUGUUCGACCU